UAUUUAUUAGAUAAAAAACCAACGCCCUUCGGGGCUCCUUGGUGAAUCAUAAUAACUUAACGAAUCGCAUGGCCUUGCGCCGGCGAUGGUUCAUUCAAAUUUCUGCCCUAUCAACUUUCGAUGGUAGGAUAGUGGCCUACCAUGGUGGCAACGGGUAACGGGGAAUUAGGGUUCGAUUCCGGAGAGGGAGCCUGAGAAACGGCUACCACAUCCAAGGAAGGCAGCAGGCGCGCAAAUUACCCAAUCCCGAUWCGGGGAGGUAGUGACAAUAAAUACUGAUACGGGGCUCUUUUGGGUCUCGUAAUUGGAAUGAGAACAAUUUAAAUCCCUUAACGAGGAACAAUUGGAGGGCAAGUCUGGUGCCAGCAGCCGCGGUAAUUCCAGCUCCAAUAGCGUAUAUUAAAGUUGUUGCAGUUAAAAAGCUCGUAGUUGAACCUUGGGUCUGGCUGGCCGGUCCGCCUCACCGCGAGUACUGGUCCGGCUGGACCUUUCCUUCUGGGGAACCUCAUGGCCUUCACUGGCUGUGGGGGGAACCAGGACUUUUACUGUGAAAAAAUUAGAGUGUUCAAAGCAGGC
rnacentral:rRNA from 1 species